rnacentral:rRNA from 1 species
AUACGUAGGGGGCUAGCGUUAUCCGGAAUUACUGGGCGUAAAGGGUGCGUAGGUGGUUUCUUAAGUCAGAAGUGAAAGGCUACGGCUCAACCGUAGUAAGCUUUUGAAACUAAGAGACUUGAGUGCAGGAGAGGAGAGUAGAAUUCCUAGUGUAGCGGUGAAAUGCGUAGAUAUUAGGAGGAAUACCAGUUGCGAAGGCGGCGCUCUUGACUGUAACGGACACUAAGGCACGAAAGCGUGGGGAGCAAACAGGAUUAGAUACCCGGGUAGUCCACGCCGUAAACGAUGAGUACUAGCUGUCGGGGGUUACCCCCCUCGGUGGCGCAGCUAACGCAUUAAGUACUCCGCCUGGGAAGUACGCUCGCAAGAGUGAAACUCAAAUUAAUUGACGGGG